rnacentral:rRNA from 1 species
AUUGAACGCUGGCGGCGUGCCUUACACAUGCAAGUCGAACGGCAGCACGGGGGCAACCCUGGUGGCGAGUGGCGAACGGGUGAGUAAUACAUCGGAACGUGCCCCGUAGCGGGGGACAACCAGUCGAAAGACUGGCUAAUACCGCAUACGCUCCACGGAGGAAAGCAGGGGAUCGCAAGACCUUGCACUAUGGGAGCGGCCGAUGCCCGAUUAGCUAGUUGGUGAGGUAAAGGCUCACCAAGGCAACGAUCGGUAGCUGGUCUGAGAGGACGGCCAGCCACACUGGGACUGAGACACGGCCCAGACUCCUACGGGAGGCAGCAGUGGGGAAUUUUGGACAAUGGGCGCAAGCCUGAUCCAGCCAUGCCGCGUGC